AACGCAUCUUGCGCUCCUUGGUAUUCCUCGGAGCAUGCCUGUUUGAGUGUCGUGAACACCUCACCCCUCUGGGUUUUCGGACCCGAUUGCCGGUGGAUUUGGGCGUUGCCACCUGACCGUGGCUCGCCUCAAAAGCAUUAGCUGGUCGGAAUGGGCGUGAUAAGUUUCGUCCGCGUCGGCUGCUUCUAAUGAUCCCGCGAGGGAUGUCUCCUCUGGGGGCAUGCAUUUUACGAUCUGACCUCAAAUCAGGUAGGGCUACCCGCUGAACUUAA
rnacentral:misc_RNA from 1 species